GAGGACCGUAUUCAUGGAAGAGGAUUGAACAGACUACUGAGUUCUUAAGAGAAAAAUGGCACUUAAGAAAUUGAUGGUGAUAUCAAAGGAAGGUUACUUAUUACUCUUGGACUUUGAUGAUGAGGACGAUGACAUAAAAGUUUCAGAGGAGGCUCUUGCGGAAGAGAUGAAGUAGACAGUAUGUUGGAUAAAUCUGGAGUAAAGAACCCAGCAAUUGGUAAAGAUGAGAAUAUAUCGCCUCAAGUAAAAGGAGAUGAAGACAUGGGAGAUGAAAUUGACAGUAUGUUGGCUACAUCUGGAGGUCUUUUCUCCUGAGAACACGGGACUCCAGCAUCUUCGGAUUCUGCUCUUGGAGAUGUGUGCAGCUGAACAGAGCGUUGAGGAAACGUCAGUGAUUUUAUAACUACUUAUCAUGUUGGGAGAUUGUUGUGAUGAUUGCCUGGACUCUCAGAUGUUACACAGGAUUAUCUGAAUGAAACAUAGCAACUGUAACUUAAAUCAAGAAAGCUAUUUUGUGCGGACAUUAGAAGUGUGAAACUAAUUCUCAAAAGCUGCAUCAUUGGACUGAAAGUGAAUGGCCCAUGUGUUGCCACUGAUGUGAGCCAUUUGCCUGUUGUGCUUCA
rnacentral:precursor_RNA from 1 species